UACGUAGGGACCGAGCGUUGUCCGGAAUCAUUGGGCGUAAAGAGCGUGUAGGCGGCUACUUAAGUCCUGCGUGAAAUCCUGCGGCUCAACCGCAGGCGGUCGUGGGAAACUGGGUGGCUAGAGUGCGGGAGAGGAGAGUGGAAUUCCUGGUGUAGCGGUGGAAUGCGCAGAUAUCAGGAAGAACACCCGUGGCGAAGGCGGCUCUCUGGCCCGGUACUGACGCUGAGGUGCGAAAGCGUGGGGAGCAAACAGG
rnacentral:rRNA from 1 species